CACAGCAGAUCCUCCAUACCUGGACAGAAAUACCCACAGAGUCAACCACAGGAAUGAAUGACAAACAUCUGCUGCAGCUGUGCGUCACUGCGUUCCUGCUCGACUCUCAGUCAUGUUGUCCUUGGCCACCCUCUCACUCCGUCUCGUGGCCUCUGGUUGCCAAGGAAGCAGGCGAUCAGUAGCAACCGUCGUCUCCGGCAACAAGACAUCCAAGUUGGUGAGGGAUAGACUGAGGAUGGAGGUGGAGAAGAUGAGGGGUCAGUUCUCAGGGUUCAGGCCCAGUCUGGUCGUGUUACAGGUGAGUCUGGUUUUACAGCUGAGUCCAGAGCGUAAGUGUCAACAAAACAACACAAAAGUCUGUAGGUGAUUCUACAGUUGG